UCAGAACAACUCUCGGCAACGGAUAUCUCGGCUCUCGCAUCGAUGAAGAACGUAGCAAAACGCGAUAUUUGGUGUGGAUUGCAGAAUCCCGUGAACCAUCGAGUUUUUGAACGCAAGUUGCGCCCGAAGCCAUUAGGCCGAGGGCACGUCUGCAUGGGCGUCAC
rnacentral:rRNA from 1 species